CCUACGGGAGGCAGCAGUGAGGAAUAUUGGUCAAUGGACGCAAGUCUGAACCAGCCAUGCCGCGUGCAGGAAGACGGCGCUAUGAGUUGUAAACUGCUUUUGUACGAGGGUAAACGCAGAUACGUGUAUCUGUCUGAAAGUAACGUACGAAUAAGGAUCGGCUAACUCCGUGCCAGCAGCCGCGGUAAUACGGAGGAUUCAAGCGUUAUCCGGAUUUAUUGGGGUUAAAGGGUGCGUAGGCGGUCGGAUAAGUUAGAGGUGAAAGCCCUAGGCUCAACUUCGGAAUUGCCUCUGAUACUGUUCGGCCAGAGCGUAGUUGCGGUAGGCGGAAUGUCUGGUGUAGCGGUUAAAUGCUU
rnacentral:rRNA from 1 species